CAGCCGCCGCGGUAAUACAUAGGGUGCAAGCGUUGUUCGGAAUUAUUGGGCGUAAAGCGCGUGCAGGCGGCUUUGUAAGACGGGUGUGAAAUCCCUCGGCUCAACUGGGGAACUGCGUCUGAGACUGCAUAGCUUGAGUGCCGGAGAGGGGGAUGGAAUUCCCCGUGUGAGGUGAAAUUCGUAGAUAUGGGGAGGAACACCGGUGGCGAAGGCGGUCCCCUGGACCGGUACUGACGCUCAUGCACGAAAGCGUGGGGAGCAAACAGGAUUAGAUACCCUGGUAGUCCACGCCCUAAACGAUGUCAACUGGUUGUUGGGUCUGUUGUGACUCACGGAGCAAUCUCACACGUGAAGUUGACUCCCUGGGGAGUACGGCCGCAAGGUUGAAACUCAAAAGAAUUGACGG
rnacentral:rRNA from 1 species